GCACAUACACUAAAAUUGGAAUGAUUUGAAGAUUAGCAUGUCCCCUGAGCAUGAAUGACAUGAAAAUUUGUCUUAUUUUUUU
ensembl:snRNA U6 U6 spliceosomal RNA